AGAGUUUGAUCCUGGCUCAGAACGAACGCUGGCGGCGUGGAUAAGACAUGCAAGUCGAGCGCUAAUUACAGGGUAGCAAUAUUCUGUAGUUGGAGCGGCGCAAGGGUGCGUAACACGUGGGUAAUCUGCCAUGAAGUCUGGGAUAACUCGCUGAAAGGCGAGCUAAUACCGGAUGUGACAAUCGGAAAGCAUUUUCUGAUUUUCAAAGCUGGGGAUCGUAAGACCUGGCGCUUCAUGAUGAGCCCGCGGCCUAUCAGCUAGUUGGUGAGGUAACGGCUCACCAAGGCUAAGACGGGUAGCUGGUCUGAGAGGACGACCAGCCACACUGGAACUGAGACACGGUCCAGACACCUACGGGUGGCAGCAGUCGAGAAUUUUUCACAAUGGGGGAAACCCUGAUGGAGCGACGCCGCGUGGGGGAUGAAUGGCUUCGGCCCGUAAACCCCUGUCAUUCGAGAACAAAUUGGUUCAAUUAACACCUGAACCAUUGAUAGUACCGGAAGAGGAAGGGACGGCUAACUCUGUGCCAGCCGCCGCGGUAAUAC
rnacentral:rRNA from 1 species